rnacentral:ncRNA from 1 species
UUAAAAACAGUGAAGGGAAGAGUAGGUAUAGUUGAAGUUAUAGCGAUUCGGUGAUGGUGGAAGGCCGAUACCUAAACCAUAUUGAAGAACAUCCUGGAGUUUCUAACCGAAAUUUUUAAAGUAGGCUUAGACGGAUUCACACCGUUAUAUGUGAUAGGUAUAUAGAAAAGUACCAAAAUGAAGUGGCUAUUUACAUAGCAAUUAGGGUGGCACCGCGAACCUUUCGUCCCUUUA